rnacentral:tRNA from 1 species
GGGGCUGUAGUGUAGUCUGGUCUAUCACUUUGGCUUUGGGAGCCAAUAACCCCGGUUCGAAUCCGGGCAGUCCCA